AACCCCUUAACGCCUACUAUCAUAAAUAUGCGACAAACCGUUUGACUCAAUCAACCAGCCGAGAUAGCGUCUGCAUUCCUCCAAUGCCGGUUAAUGCAUAUUCACUACGGACCUAGGAACCUUCGACAAGCACUUGUUUCUAGUGGGACCGCAAAGUGACGGACUUAUUUCCUGUUUACGCAUGAGGAUUACUCCGGUCGCGAAGUUAUGGAUAUGAGUCGGGAAAGUUUGAUCCUGAGGUGUAUAUAAGAUCCGAAUGAAACCUUCCGUGUUUUACGGCAAGCGCGUAAAUGCGCAACCUCGCGUCAGAGUUCCCCCAGAGUGGAGUGUGGAGCGAGAGUUCAAGAAGAAGCAGCGCAGGGGACCAACUAAGGCUAUUCCCACACAAGAUGUCCGUCCUGAUGCUGUGGGUCACUGGCCGCAAAUCGACAGUGUGCGGCAACGCUGCAAAUUCCCUAAGUGCACGGGCCACACUAGCUUCAAGUGUACAAAAUGUGAUGUUCACUUGUGCCUAAACAAGAAGAAAAACUGCUUCUGUGCAUUCCACGAGUGAGAAAAAACACGUGCGUGCAUGCCUGAGUGUGUGUAUGUAUGCAUGUGUGUGUGUGUGCAUUCGUGAGUGUGUGUGUGUGUGUGUGUGUGUGUGUGUAUGCGUGAGUGUGUGUGUGUAUGUAUGUAUGUAUGCAUGUGUGCGUGAAUGCGUGUGUGUGUGUGUGUGUGUGUGUGCGUGUGCGUGUGUGUGGAGGUUAACCCUGGGGCUACCCAAGAGGUGUUUCACGGCCCCUGCUCCUUAAAUAAUUAAAGAGUGGAGUAACAUUGUUAUGUUACAUUGUUACAUUGUUAUAGUACAAAGAACUGCUUCUGUGCAUUCCCUCUCAUUCUUUCAGGUUCAGCAACAUACAUUUGAAAACUUAAUUUACAAUUCAAAUCAAUCUACAAUUCAAAUUUAUGCAAUGUUUCCUAUAGCCUUAACAGUAACGUUUGUGUAUAUUGUGUUGGUGACAUGAAAGUGGUCAUAAUUCUUAUUAUUGAAUACCUGCAGUUGCAGAUUUAUUUAAAUAAAUAAU